CGAUCUUUUCAUUAAUCCUCGAUCCCUUCUUCACUGAAUCCUCACUUUCUCUUUAUAUCCCAUUCAAUCCACCGCUAUUAACGAUUAACGACUGCAUUCAUUUGUUCGAACUCGUUGUUACACUGCUUCUCGCGCAUCUGCAAGAGCAGUGUUGACAUUGCUGACAUUUUGAAGUGACUUGAAACGACCAAACGACGAAGAAAUGAUACUAUGUUAGAGGAUUGAAUUAUACAGAGAAAUCAGCUAUCACGGAUAGAACGAAAUUUCAGUUGGAACGAAGUUCAUUGCAAUGUCUGUCAACGUUGAGAGAUUGCCUGUGUCAAAUGGUGAUAGUAAUGUCGUGCACGGUUUGGGAAUCGAUAGAAUCGAGUUACGGGACAAGCUGUCUUUUAUUUUCACCCCUGCAC